AUUGGAAGUCACAGCAAGAAUAGGUAAUGGAAGAAUAAAUUCAAGACUUGCAAUAAGACAAAAAAGAAGUUAGAGAGGAGGGCGAGGAUUAGGAGUUUCAACGGGAUAAAGAAGAAAUUGGAGAUGAAGGCCAAGACUAGGAGUGGAAACUGGAGAAGGAAGAAGUUGGAGAGGAGGGCCAUAACUAGGACUUGUGAUGGGAAUAACAAGCAUGAUAGAGAGGGUGGCUGGUCUUCCAAAAAAUAAAUUGUCUCUCAAAACUACCUCAAUGCAAUAGGAGGGGAGAGCUUGCUAAAGCCCAUAAAGAAUACUAUGAAGGAAAAGGGUUCUUUUAAAACAUAUUGAAAAAAAUUGUGAGGGGAUGAUGGUUACUUGGUGCCUAUGGAUCUUGAUUGCUCUAAUCUUCUUUGAGUCUAAUACCAAAAUUUGCAAAAGAGAUACAUAAGUACUA
rnacentral:lncRNA from 1 species